rnacentral:rRNA from 1 species
CCUACGUGAGGCUGCAGUGAGGAAUAUUGGUCAAUGGACGCAAGUCUGAACCAGCCAUGCCGCGUGCAGGAAGCCGGCUCUAUGAGUUGUAAACUGCUUUUGUACGAGGGUAAACGCAGCUCCGCGUAUCUGUCUGAAAGUAUCGUACGAAUAAGGAUCGGCUAACUCCGUGCCAGCAGCCGCGGUAAUACGGAGGAUUCAAGCGUUAUCCGGAUUUAUUGGGUUUAAAGGGUGCGUAGGCGGUCGGAUAAGUUAGAGGUGAAAUCCCGAGGCUCAACUUCGGAAUUGCCUCUGAUACUGUUCGGCUAGAGAGUAGUUGCGGUAGGCGGAAUGUAUGGUGUAGCGGUGAAAUGCUUAGAGAUCAUACAGAACAACGAUUGCGAAGGCAGCUUACCAAGCUACUUCUGACGUUGAGGCACGAAAGCGUGGGGAGCAAACAGGAUUAGAUACCCUGGUAGUC